UACGUCAUCAUCAUCUAGAGCAACCACAGUUGGUUCCUGUACCUCUUGCUUAGGGAUCUCGACAUCUACCACUUCGGUUAUGGCAUCAUCCUCUGCUAAUGACGCCAUCUUCUUUGCAUUGUUUUACAACCGUGGAAGGAUGGGGCAAACGUGGAGAAGACGGGGUUUGGUGUUUGGGAUGAUGGAGGUCAAACACAACAGACUGCGCACAGUUCUUAAAAUGGUGUAACACCGCUCACAGGAAACCUUAAUCCCUAUCAUCAGACGACAUGUGCGAAGGGGUUCCACCAUUCUGAGUGACUGCUGGAGAGCGUAUGUCAGGUCUCUGUAAAGGCUGGCUUACAAUCACCAGACAGUCAACCACACAAACAACUUUGUGGAUCCUCACACAGGAUGUCACACACAACACAUUGAAAGAGCGUGGCAGACAAUAAAGGGGCAGAUUUGGAGGCUAAAGGGAAAUCGGACCAAAAAAUGUUUAAAGAAGCAUCUCCAUUUUAUUGAGUGGAUGUACUGGUUGGGUGAAGAAAAUAAGAAAGGAGUACUCUCUCAACUCUUCAAAGACAUCCGUUUAGAAUAUCAGCUGUAAGAUCUUUCAGUCUUUGCAUGCACCCCCUAGAGGAAAUGUAACCGGGAGUACCCGGUGCCAGGUAUUUUGCUGUGCCAAUUUAAAUAACGGUCAAUACCGGCCCUUUAAAUGCAAGCAUCCCCUGCAAGCUCUAAAGUGCCAAAAACAGCAAUCUCAACUUUUCAUUUAUAUCUUUGGGACAACCAUCCUACAGCAAAUGAAUGUUUCAUUAUUUUGACAGGGUUAUAAGCAUGUUUGGUUGCUAUCUGUUUGGGUCACUCCAUGUAACAAUGUAUAUCACAUGAAACGGGAGACUCUUGAUUCCAUUACUUCCAAACAUAUCACUGUCCUAUCAACAGGCUAAGCACCAACCCUCAGUGUCUUACCAAACUUCACCUACUACAAUCAAAAACAUGUAACAUAGAGAAUAAAUCAAAUGGGUUUCACUUUACAUUGAGUUGCUUGUUCCUGCAUAAAAACAUGAUUUACAAUACUUUUCUUUAUAACAACAUUGUAAUAACUGACAUUUUGAUGUAUCCUGUGAAAUCUGUUAUUGCAUUGAAAGUAUAUUGUAAUUACACGUAUAGGUUGAGAUGGAUUCCCAUUGAUCACAAAUACAAGUGCUUUAUUGGGUGUCUGCCUAAAUUGUAACAUAGUAAUUACAUGAGUAACGCACAAUGUGUUUCACUUUACGUUACGUUGCUUGUUCCUUUGUAGAAACAUUGUAGUUACGAUACUUUUCUUUGUAACAAUGUAAUAAAUAACAUUUGGAUAUAUUCUGUGAAAUAUGUAAUUGCAUUGAAAGUACAUUGUAAACACAUCUUGCAAAAAUAUUCUCCUGAAAUUAGCAGGCACUGAUGCAGAAGAUAAUUGCGUAGUUUAUUUUUGUAUUUUUUAAAUCUUUUCCUUGUCACUGUGCAUUUUUAAAAGGUCAACUACUUUUUGUUUACUAUUGUUCGUCUGCAUUGUUUUCAAGUGUUGGUGGGAAGUGUUGGUGUAUUUGUUCUGACUAGGACCCCAGAUGUAAUUGGACUGAAGGGAAUUUGAAACAGACCCAGGGAGAGGAGUGCUUUAACUUGUUUAGUAAUAGGUGCUGUAACAAGUUAUUCUACAUUGAAGUGUAUUUUCCCAAUGAUUGUAAUAAAAAGGUUGGCCCUA